ensembl:misc_RNA Y_RNA Y RNA
GGCUGGGCAGAGUACAGUGGUGUUUACAACCAAAUGGAUCACAACUGGUUAACAAGUUUCUCUGUUCCUUCUCUACCCUCACUGCUUCACUUGACUAGUCUAAA